rnacentral:rRNA from 1 species
UACGGAGGGUGCAAGCGUUAAUCGGAAUUACUGGGCGUAAAGCGCACGCAGGCGGUUAUGCAAGACAGAGGUGAAAUCCCCGGGCUCAACCUGGGAACUGCCUUUGUGACUGCAUAGCUAGAGUACGGUAGAGGGGGAUGGAAUUCCGCGUGUAGCAGUGAAAUGCGUAGAUAUGCGGAGGAACACCGAUGGCGAAGGCAAUCCCCUGGACCUGUACUGACGCUCAUGCACGAAAGCGUGGGGAGCAAACAGG